rnacentral:rRNA from 1 species
CUACAGGCUUAACACAUGCAAGUCGAGGGGCAGCAUGGUCUUAGCUUGCUAAGGCCGAUGGCGACCGGCGCACGGGUGAGUAACGCGUAUCCAACCUGCCUUACACUCUUGGACAGCCUUCUGAAAGGGAGAUUAAUACAAGAUGUUAUCAUGAGUAAGCAUUUUCACAUGAUUAAAGGUUUACCGGUGUAAGAUGGGGAUGCGUUCCAUUAGAUAGUAGGCGGGGUAACGGCCCACCUAGUCUUCGAUGGAUAGGGGUUCUGAGAGGAAGGUCCCCCACAUUGGAACUGAGACACGGUCCAAACUCCUACGGGAGGCAGCAGUGAGGAAUAUUGGUCAAUGGACGAGAGUCUGAACCAGCCAAGUGGCGUGAAGGAUGAAGGUUCUAUGGAUUGUAAACUUCUUUUAUACGGGAAUAAACGAAUCCACGUGUGGAUUUUUGCAUGUACCGUAUGAAUAAGGAUCGGCUAACUCCGUGCCAGCAGCCGCGGUAAUACGGAGGAUCCGAGCGUUAUCCGGAUUUAUUGGGUUUAAAGGGAGCGUAGAUGGGUUGUUAAGUCAGUUGUGAAAGUUUGCGGCUCAACCGUAAAAUUGCAAUUGAUACUGGCAGUCUUGAGUACAGUUGAGGUAGGCGGAAUUCGUGGUGUAGCGGUGAAAUGCUUAGAUAUCACGAAGAACUCCGAUUGCGAAGGCAGCUUACUAACCUGUAACUGACAUUGAUGCUCGAAAGUGUGGGUAUCAAACAGGAUUAGAUACCCUGGUAGUCCACACGGUAAACGAUGAAUACUCGCUGUAGGCGAUAUACAGUCUGCGGCCAAGCGAAAGCAUUAAGUAUUCCACCUGGGGAGUACGCCGGCAACGGUGAAACUCAAAGGAAUUGACGGGGGCCCGCACAAGCGGAGGAACAUGUGGUUUAAUUCGAUGAUACGCGAGGAACCUUACCCGGGCUUAAAUUGCAACCGAAUAUGGCGGAAACGCUAUAGCUAGCAAUAGCGGUUGUGAAGGUGCUGCAUGGUUGUCGUCAGCUCGUGCCGUGAGGUGUCGGCUUAAGUGCCAUAACGAGCGCAACCCUUGCCGAUAGUUACUAACAGGUCAUGCUGAGGACUCUGUCGGGACUGCCAUCGUAAGAUGUGAGGAAGGUGGGGAUGACGUCAAAUCAGCACGGCCCUUACGUCCGGGGCUACACACGUGUUACAAUGGGGGGUACAGAGGGCUGCUACCACGCAAGUGGAUGCCAAUCCCAAAAACCUCUCUCAGUUCGGAUUGAAGUCUGCAACCCGACUUCAUGAAGCUGGAUUCGCUAGUAAUCGCGCAUCAGCCACGGCGCGGUGAAUACGUUCCCGGGCCUUGUACACACCGCCCGUCAAGCCAUGGGAGCCGGGGGUACCUGAAGUGCGUAACCGCAAGGAGCGCCCUAGGGUAAAACUGGUGACUGGGGCU